rnacentral:rRNA from 1 species
UACGUAGGGGGCUAGCGUUGUCCGGAAUCAUUGGGCGUAAAGAGCGUGUAGGCGGUCCGGUAAGUCCGCUGUGAAAGUCGGGGGCUCAACCCUCGAAUGCCGGUGGAUACUGUCGGGCUAGAGUCCGGAAGAGGCGAGUGGAAUUCCUGGUGUAGCGGUGGAAUGCGCAGAUAUCAGGAGGAACACCAACAGCGAAGGCAGCUCGCUGGGACGGUACUGACGCUGAGGCGCGAAAGCGUGGGGAGCGAACAGG